CCUACGGGAGGCUGCAGUAGGGAAUAUUGGUAAUGUGCGAAAGCGCGAACCAGCAACGCCGCGUGUGCGAUGACGGCCUUCGGGUUGUAAAGCACUUUUUAAGGGGAUGAGGAAGGACAGUACCCUUAGAAUAAGCCUCGGCUAACUACGUGCCAGCAGCCGCGGUAAAACGUAGGAGGCGAGCGUUAUCCGGAUUUAUUGGGCGUAAAGCGUGUGUAGGCGGUUUGAUAAGUUGGAUGUGAAAGCUCCUGGCUUAACUGGGAGAGGUCGUUCAAAACUAUCAGACUUGAGAGUGGUAGAGGGAGGUGGAAUUCCGGGUGUAGUGGUGAAAUGCGUAGAUAUCCGGAGGAACACCAGUGGCGAAAGCGGCCUCCUGGCCCAUUUCUGACGCUCAGACACGAAAGCUAGGGUAGCAAACGGGAUUAGAUACCCCAGUAGUC
rnacentral:rRNA from 1 species